rnacentral:SRP_RNA from 2 species
GCUGGGCGCGGUGGCUCACGCCUGUAGUCCCAGCACUUUGGGAGGCCGAGGCGGGUGGAUCACCUGAGGUCAGGAGUUCAAGACCAGCCUGGCCAACAUGGUGAAACCCCGUCUCUA